ACCAAAGAGCACUAGGCCUACGCUUUGGCUUUAAUUCUAAUGGCAAUAAACCACCGAGAAGACUUUUAGACGCCAGUGGAAAAGCUAUCCUACUGUAUGCAGUUACAGAAUUAUUACUGGUACUGAGGUUGUGUUAUACAGGCAUACUUGAUCACAUUGUUGUUUGCCAGAUAAUGUUUAAUCAGACCUGUUAAUGUUAUAAUCAUUGCAGUCUUUAAUUCAAUGAUUCAAUACAAUGUAUAUUUCAACCAAUUGUAAGCAAACACUGUUUACAACUACUGUAUUAGUGUCUAUUGUAUAUACUACUACUACUAUUACUACGAUCAACGAGACGAGUUGAUGUGCAACAUCUGUAUAGUGAUUAUGAGAUGAGUCAUCAUAUCAUAAAGUUAAAAAUUUGUGGAGUUACAAAAUAAAUUUCUGCAAUCAAUUUAGAAAAUACAGUUAACCUGAUCCUUCUACGUGUAUGUUCACAAAUAUAAUCUUAUUCAUAAAUAAAUGGAUGGAACUUAGCUUAUUGUUGGAGGAUUCAAAUUCAAACAAAGCAACUUGAAAAUGAACUGCUAAAAAAUGUGACGUUAUAUUAUUUCUGCAAAUGGUAACAUGCCAACUGUACUAUUAUUUAACAGACUUACUGAGAGACAGGCAUCAAUCUUCCACAAAUAAAGACAUACUGUAGUAC